ensembl:lncRNA AOC4P amine oxidase copper containing 4, pseudogene
UACCUGGCCACCUACGUGGACUGGCACUUCCUUUUUGAGUCCCAGGCCGCCAAGACAAUACGCGAUGCCUUUUGUAUAUUUGAACAGAACCAGGGCCUCCCCCUGCGGCGACACCACUCAGAUCUCUACUCCCACUACUUUGGGGGCCUUGCGGAAACGGUGCUGGUCAUCAGAUCUGUGUCUACUAUGCUCAACUAUGACUAUGUGUGGGAUAUGGUCUUCCACCCUAAUGGGGCCAUAGAAAUCAGACUCCACACCACCGGCUACAUCAGCUCAGCAUUCCCCUUUGGUGCUGCCCAGAGGUAUGGAAACAAAGUUUCAGAGCACACCCUGGGCACGGUCCACACCCACAGCGCCCACUUCAAGGUGGACCUGGAUGUAGCAGGACUGGAGAACUGGGUCUGGGCCGAGGAUAUGGCCUUUGUCCCCAUGGCUGUGCCCUGGAGCCCUGAGCACCAGAUGCAGAGGCUGCAGGUGACCCGGAAGCUGCUGGAGACAGAGGAGCAAGCCACCUUCCCCAUGGGAGGCGCCACCCCUCGCUACCUGUACCUGGCCAGCAACCACAGCAACAAGUGGGGUCACCCCCGGGGCUACCGCAUCCAGGUGCGCAGCUUUUCUGGGGAGCCACUGCCCCAGAACAGCUCCGUGGAGAGAGGCUUCAGCUGGGGGAGGUACCAGCUGGUGGUAACCCAGCGGAAGGAGGAGGAACCUAGUAGCACCAGCAUCUACAAUUUGAAUGACCC